rnacentral:lncRNA from 1 species
CUUUCCCUCUUUCUCUCCUGCAGACGAUGGGCCCUACUCCAAAGGAGGCAAGGACGCAGGAGGGGCCGACGUUUCCCUGGCGUGCCGCAGACAGAGCAUUCCAGAGGAGUUCCGAGGGAUCACUGUGGUGGAGCUGAUCAAGAAAGAAGGCAGCACGCUGGGCCUGACUAUCUCAGGUGGCACCGACAAGGAUGGAAAGCCCAGGGUCUCCAACCUGAGACCUGGGGGACUUGCAGCCAGGAGUGAUCUGCUGAACAUUGGUGACUAUAUUCGGUCUGUGAACGGGAUCCACCUGACCAGGCUCCGCCACGAUGAGAUCAUCACCCUGCUCAAGAAUGUGGGCGAGCGCGUGGUGCUGGAGCUCCUGAGAAUAACCCCAGGAUCAUUUCAAAGACAGUGGACGUCUCCCUCUACAAGGAGGGCAAUAGCUUUGGCUUUGUCCUUAGAGGAGGUGCCCAUGAAGAUGGGCACAAGUCCCGCCCGCUUGUCCUGACCUACGUGCGGCCCGGUGGCCCUGCCGACAGGGAGGGCUCCCUGAAGGUGGGCGACAGGCUGCUCAGUGUCGAUGGAAUCCCGCUGCACGGGGCCAGCCAUGCCACCGCCCUGGCCACCCUGCGGCAGUGCAGCCACGAGGCACUCUUUCAGGUGGAGUAUGAUGUGGCCACCCCUGACACGGUGGCUAAUGCUUCGGGACCCUUGAUGGUGGAAAUAGUCAAGACGCCAGGGUCUGCCCUGGGGAUCUCGCUCACCACCACCUCCCUCCGGAACAAGUCAGUCAUUACCAUCGACCGCAUCAAGCCAGCCAGCGUGGUGGACAGGAGCGGAGCCCUGCACCCUGGAGACCACAUCCUGUCCAUCGAUGGCACCAGCAUGGAACACUGCUCGCUGCUUGAGGCCACCAAGCUCCUGGCCAGCAUUUCAGAGAAGGUGCGGCUGGAGAUCCUGCCUGUGCCCCAGAGUCAGCGGCCACUGAGGCCCUCAGAGGCAGGUGGGUCCCCUCAGUAGAUCUCAGGGCCCAAACCUGGGCAGUCAUGAGGCCUGAGAGGCCUGGGACCAGAGCCCUGGGCAGGCUGGGAGGAGCAGGCUAAAAUGUACUAGGACAAAUCCUCAUUUGCCCAGGGAAGCUCAAAUUAUUAAGAGCAGCAACUGAGGGUGGGAAGGUGGGGCAGAGAAACAACUUGAGGGUUUGAAUUGAGUCUGCUGGCAUAGAUGCCCCAAAGCUGGUUUCAUCACUGGUUGCAUUAAUAGGAGUAUAAGGGCUAGAAUGAGGGAGGGAACAGUCCUGUGCUCUCUGCUACUCAGAGCUUAGAUCCUGGGCUCUUCUCAGUGACUCUCAGCAGAUCCAGAGGAG